CUUAACCAGUUCUAACAGCAAUAAGGCGCGUGGGUUUAAGCUCGAGCAGUCUGUUUGGGUUUGACACCCGGAUUGUGCCACCUUUAUACCCCGGCAGUGAUCUGGUUGUUGACCUCUGGGCUAAAGCUCGAUCCCACAAAGGCCGUACCUCCACCCUAUGUUUUGUGUGGGCCCCCUCACAUCACACGGAGGUAGCUAUUGCAUGGCACAGCAAAGGGCUAGGCAGGCCAGAAGGAGCAAAACCACCUUGCAAGUGACGGUGGUGAAUACAGAUCAGUGCGAUCAUCUGCCUCAUGCUUCAUAGCGGAGCUGUACAGAUGUGAGAGCCUGGGAUUAACAGGAGCCCGAGCUCCUCACUGAAGGGAUUUAAGGGUAGGUUUGAGCUGUGAUCAAUCUGCAGAGGCUCAAGCACAGGGCAGCUGCCCUUGUGCCCAGUGGCCGCUUUCCUGCUCUGAAUGCCAGCUGCUUUCCCUUCCCACCAGGAUGCCUCUGCUCAGCCCUGGCAAGGCCUCCCCUGCCCAGCCAAGCUGGUGCUCACCAUGGUUUGUUGGAUCCUUGUGGGCUGAUUACUCAAGUAGAACUGUUAAGAGCAAUGGGAUGGCUGCCAGGUCUGCAGGAAGCAUUGCCAGGAUUAUAUCUCCAGCUUCACUUGGUCACCAUCACACCUUGGACUUGUUGGUCCUUCCCCGCACACAGCAGGAUGAUCUUGUUCCCAAGCUCUGUCAAGCAGAUCUGGUGGGAAGGGAGGUUCAAGCCAGCCAGAAGGUGUGUGCUGAAAGCUGACCAGCUGCAAACAUGGCCAUUCUCCAAAAAGAAAUCGCUGCCUUCUCCUUCAAGAGUUAAACAUGGAUCAGCGCAGUCCCUAUUUUUAGCAGCCCCGACAUUCACUAGCAGCCUGUUUUGACUGUAACUUUUUGCAAUAAUUUUUCUGUCACUGGAGAAAAGUGAAAUUCCUGUGCUGACCCAAAGCCUGCAGGACAUUUGCAGUGCGUCCUGCUUUGCUCGCUGCCUUUUCCAACAUUUCUGUCUGGUUGAGAUAGAGCCUGUUAAAACCUUUCCAAAAUUUCCAAAAAAUUAAAACUCCUUGGAAGCUUG